rnacentral:rRNA from 1 species
UUCAUACAGUACCGUCAAUACCCGACACGUCGGGCUUUUUCUUCCUGUNUAAAAGCAGUUUACAAUCCAUAGGACCGUCUUCCUGCACGCGGCAUGGCUGGAUCAGGAUUGCUCCCAUUGUCCAACAUUCCUC